AUCCUACGGGAGGCAGCAGUGGGGAAUAUUGCACAAUGGGCGCAAGCCUGAUGCAGCCAUGCCGCGUGUGUGAAGAAGGCCUUCGGGUUGUAAAGCACUUUCAGUCGUGAGGAAGGUAGUGUAGUUAAUAGCUGCAUUAUUUGACGUUAGCGACAGAAGAAGCACCGGCUAACUCCGUGCCAGCAGCCGCGGUAAUACGGAGGGUGCGAGCGUUAAUCGGAAUUACUGGGCGUAAAGCGCAUGCAGGUGGUUUGUUAAGUCAGAUGUGAAAGCCCGGGGCUCAACCUCGGAAUUGCAUUUAGAAACUGGCAGACUAGAGUACUGUAGAGGGGGUAGAAUUUCAGGUGUAGCGGUGAAAUGCGUAGAGAUCUGAAGGAAUACCGGUGGCGAAGGCGGCCCCCUGGACAGAUACUGACACUCAGAUGCGAAAGCGUGGGGAGCAAACAGGAUUAGAUACCCUGGUAG
rnacentral:rRNA from 1 species